rnacentral:rRNA from 1 species
UACGUAGGGUGCAAGCGUUGUCCGGAAUUAUUGGGCGUAAAGAGCUCGUAGGCGGCUGUUCAAGUCGAACGUGAAAACUCGGAGCUCAACUCCGAGCCUGCGUUCGAUACUGGACGGCUAGAGUCUGGUAGGGGGAUCUGGAAUUCCUGGUGUGAGCGGUGGGAAUGCGCAGAUAUCAGGAGGAACACCGGUGGCGAAGGCGGGAUCCUGGGCCAGUACUGACGCUGAGGAGCGAAAGCAUGGGGGAGCGAACAGG